AAGCACUUUUGGCAGGGAAGAAAAGGCUCUGGCUAAUACCUGGAGCUGCUGACGGUACCUGCAGAAUAAGCACCGGCUAACUACGUGCCAGCAGCCGCGGUAAUACGUAGGGUGUAAGCGUUAAUCGGAAUUACUGGGCGUAAAGCGUGAGCAGGCGGUUCGGCAAGAAGGAUGUGAAAUCCCGGGGCUUAACCUCGGAACUGCAUUCUUAACUGCCGGGCUAGAGUAUGUCAGAGGGGGGUAGAAUUCCACGUGUAGCAGUGAAAUGCGUAGAGAUGUGGAGGAAUACCGAUGGCGAAGGCAGCCCCCUGGGAUAAUACUGACGCUCAUGCACGAAAGCGUGGGGAGCAAACAGGAUUAGAUACCCUGGUAGUCCACGCCCUAAACGAUGUCAACUAGCUGUUGGGGCCUUCGGGCCUUAGUAGCGCAGCUAACGCGUGAAGUUGACCGCCUGGGGAGUACGGUCGCAAGAUUAAAACUCAAAGGAAUUGACGGGGACCCGCACAAGCGGUGGAUGAUGUGGAUUAAUUCGAUGCAACGCGAAAAACCUUACCUACCCUUGACAUGUCUGGAAUCCCGAAGAGAUUUGGGAGUGCUCGCAAGAGAACCGGAACACAGGU
rnacentral:rRNA from 2 species